rnacentral:sRNA from 1 species
UGCUUCCUUAUGAGGAAGCACUGAAAUGAUCAGACCCUCAGAAUCAUAGUGAACCUGAAAUGCAAAAAUCCAGUUUUGUAAAAGAAGAGAAUCUGGGCAUGAUUCCACUGCAGAUGUAUUCUCCACUUUGCAAAAGAUUUCACAAUGGGUUUCUUUAAAUAUCAAAAUUUCUGGCUCACUUAAAAUAUGAAUUUUAUUUCAAAUUAGAAAAUAGAAUUUACACUUGACUUUUGAGGAAAUGCAUGUGGUCUGUAAACUAGGUCAUAGCUGUGUUACCCCUGGAGGGUAAGUUGUAUAGUGGCAUGCAGGGAGGGAGGGACCCCAAUUAUCUGAAGGAAAUGUCCACACCGAUGAUUUCCCUCUUUGUACUGUAUUUGUAGAAGGAGCAACACACAGUGAGCAUCGAGCCCUCAUGUCUGAACUCAAGAUCCUCAUUCAUAUUGGUCACCAUCUCAAUGUGGUCAACCUUCUAGGUGCCUGUACCAAGCCAGGAGGGCCACUCAUGGUGAUUGUGGAAUUCUGCAAAUUUGGAAACCUAUCCACUUACCUGAGGAGCAAGAGAAAUGAAUUUGUCCCCUACAAGACCAAAGGGGCACGAUUCCGUCAAGGGAAAGACUACGUUGGAGCAAUCCCUGUGGAUCUGAAACGGCGCUUGGACAGCAUCACCAGUAGCCAGAGCUCAGCUAGCU